rnacentral:rRNA from 1 species
CCUACGGGGGGCAGCAGUGGGGAAUCUUCCACAAUGGGCGAAAGCCUGACGGAGCAACGCCGCGUGAGUGAAGAAGGUCUUCGGAUCGUAAAGCUCUGUUGAUGGGGACGAACGUGCCUAAUGCGAAUAGUUUUAGGUAAUGACGGUACCUAUCGAGGAAGCCACGGCUAACUACGUGCCAGCAGCCGCGGUAAUACGUAGGUGGCGAGCGUUGUCCGGAAUCAUUGGGCGUAAAGGGAGCGCAGGCGGGCAUGUAAGUCUUUCUUAAAAGUUCGGGGCUCAACCCCGUGAUGGGAAAGAAACUAUAUGUCUUGAGUACAGGAGAGGAAAGCGGAAUUCCCAGUGUAGCGGUGAAAUGCGUAGAUAUUGGGAGGAACACCAGUGGCGAAGGCGGCUUUCUGGACUGCAACUGACGCUGAGGCUCGAAAGCCAGGGGAGCGAACGGGAUUAGAUACCCGGGUAGUCC